UACGUAGGUGACCAGCGUUGUCCGGAUUUACUGGGCGUAAAGGGCGCGUAGGCGGCCCGCUAAGUCGAACGUGAAAUCCCCGGGCUCAACCCGGGAACUGCGUCCGAUACUGGUGGGCUUGAAUCCGGGAGAGGGAUGCGGAAUUCCAGGUGUAGCGGUGAAAUGCGUAGAUAUCUGGAGGAACACCGGUGGCGAAGGCGGCAUCCUGGACCGGUAUUGACGCUGAGGCGCGAAAGCCAGGGGAGCAAACGGG
rnacentral:rRNA from 1 species